CUGGAUUUGCGCAUGGGGGCAGCCUGAUGCAGCCCGCCGCGUGGGGGAUGAAGGCCUUCGGGUUGUAAACCUCUUUCGACCGGGACGAUGAUGACGGUACCGGUCCAAGAAGCACCGGCUAACUUCGUGCCAGCCCCCGCGGUAAUAUAAUAAC
rnacentral:rRNA from 1 species